CAGAAGGCUAACUCCAUGGUAGCCUCCAUGAUACCUCUUACACCAAGAACUGUUGAGAUUGACAGUACCGCUGUGCCAGAGCUUAGGAGAACAUGCUUUUUGACGGAGAAAAUCAUACCUUUCAGUACAUGGUUUAUAAGUAAAAAGUAUACAACCAUCCCCAAAGUGGAUGUAAACACUCACAUAGUGGUUGUAGGUGCUUCUAGAACAUGUCUCGGUUUCCUGAAUGGCCUUUUAUUCGACCAAACAUCCACCUACCUCACUUUCAACAACGUGACACUAAUUUCGCCGCGUGGCUUGCCUUACAAGAGGCAUUCGAAACCGGCAGCGGAGUCCAUGUUCCUAAGAUAUUACGUCACUACCGAUAAGUAUCUGAAAUGUGUUCCCUACACGUACUACGUGAAUGUCAUUCAGGGAACUGUCAUGGAAAU